UAAAAAUAUAAUUAAAUAUUCCCAUAAAUAUCUAAUUAAACCGCAAGUCAAAAAUACUAUUUUAUGAAUAAAUAAAUAAUUCGUCCAACAAAACCAAGAAUAACUAACAAUCCUAACCGGGUUCCAAUAACCAAAAACACCAAAAAUAAAAUAAACGAGUUCCUAGAUCAUCCUCUCUUCCUUGCCAUGAUUCCACGAUCACACUUUAUCGUUACCUGCAUCAACAACACAAUGAGAUGCGUAAGUAUUAUCAUAAAUACUUAGUCAGGCGAUCCUCCCAUCUACGAGCUAUACACACAAGCAAAUAAAAAGGUAUAAUCACGAAUACAAUACAAACAAACCAGUCAUUGAACAAUUCACCCAAAACACAUCCACCACACCUAUAUAUCAUCACACAAAACAAAUCACACAACCCAAUCGCUCAGAUAAGCUCAUGGUCACGCACUCACCUUAACAAAUUGAUUCUAAUAGCAAUUAAACCCAGGAGAGUCUCUCCUUGCGUCUGAAACAGUCCAGAAACUACCUACAGCAAGUCCACAACAAUAAUCCAUUGGUUU
rnacentral:sRNA from 1 species